GGCCUGCGCCAGCGAUGGCCGCUUGCGAGGUGCUGCAUGGUUGUCGUCAGCUCGUGCCGUGAGGUGUCGGGUUAAGUCCCAUAACGAGCGCAACCCCUACUGCUAGUUGCCAGCGGGUCAUGCCGGGGACUCUAGCGGAACUGCCAGCGUAAGCUGCGAGGAAGGUGGGGAUGACGUCAAAUCAGCACGGCCCUUACGUCCAGGGCUACACACGUGCUACAAUGGCCGGCACAGCGGGAAGCGAGGCAGUGAUGCCAAGCGGAUCCCUUAAAGCCGGUCUCAGUUCGGAUUGAAGUCUGCAACUCGACUUCAUGAAGCUGGAAUCGCUAGUAAUCGCAGAUCAGCCAAGCUGCGGUGAAUACGUUCCCGGGCCUU
rnacentral:rRNA from 1 species